rnacentral:rRNA from 1 species
AUGCUAGAUUUAUUUUCUCGCUUUCAUCUUGUGUGUUUGAAAAACUUUGAGAAAACCCAAAAAAUUCAUGCUUCUUUUCGGUUUUUCUUUCUAGUUUAUUUAGUUGCAGUAUUAAAAGAAAACCCAAACAGAUUUCUUGAAUCUUCUUUUGCUUGUUGGGAGCUCUCCCUUGUAAAUAGUUUUUCUCAUUUUUUGUUUUUUCCUUCUUUAAUUUGCUUUCUUCUAGAAAAAACUAAAAACUCCAAAAAUAUUUCAGUGUGUUUCUCUGAAAAUAUUUUCUAUUUAUUGAGUCAUACCAAGGAGAAGACCAGGAUGAAAAUGUCGAGUGGCUCUCAUAUCCAUUAUUGUUGA